AUGAUACAGUUUGCCUUCCAGUUACUCUCUGAUAAACCCGACAGUCACCCUACAAAUUUCAACCAGCAUUUAGUCAGCAUGAAUACUCCUUGUCUCCAAACCUCCUCCUCCUCCAAGGAAAGUGGAAAUAAGUACGAACAAAUUAACACUUGUCCAGAUUCCUAUGCACUUGCUACAAAAGAGCUCACGAGUGCGAGCAUAGCCACACAGGACGCAUGAUGCACAGGGCAGACAAAACCACAUGCCAACAUUCCCAAGAAAGAGACCAGAAAUGAGUAUUCAUACAAGACCAAGAAAGUGGCAGGCAGACCCUCUGUAAUGAUAAGAUACUUCCUGGCUAAGUAAUAUUGAGAUCUUUCCACCACAAAUUCCCCACCAGCAGCAUGGAGCUAAUCACGUCUUCCCCAUAGGAUGGUUGUGGAGACUGAAUGAGGCAGCAGAUGUAGAAAACAAACAAACAAAAAAACCUGGUGGAACCUCGGCCACAUGUUAAGGCUUCCAUUGACCUUCCCUUUGCGUCGCAGGGGAGAAGGACCUGUCCAGAAAGCAGCAGAACAACCUUCUGUAUUGCCAGAAGCAAGAGCAAGCUGUCUAUAAAAUCCCCUCGGACACAAAGAGUCAAGAGUGUGAGGAGUCUGCGUGAGAUGCUAGGCUCACCCAAAGCCUGUUGUCUAUGGCCGCCGUAAUGCCCAUUCUACCGAGAGACGAGCCAAGAGAUUAAAGCAGAAAUGGAAAGGGGCAGAUUAAUUGAUAUCGGGCUCUUAAAAAUCACAGCCAGACUUCAGCUGCCGGAGCAAUCAGAGAGCUGGUGAAAGGGGGGCUGUUUGGCCAAGUUUCAGCAUCACAUCCUCACACUAGUGGGAAAAGCACGUUCGCUCCGUGUCUUCAUCUCCGAGACACUGGUGAAUGUGAGAAAGGCUCCCAACUCCUUGCAUCUUCUGGUCCUCGAGGCCAGUUCUCAACCUUCCCAAUGCUGCAACCCUUUAAUAAAGUUCCUCAUGUUGUGACCA
rnacentral:lncRNA from 1 species